CGCGGGGGCAACCCUGGCGACGAGCGGCGGACGGGUGAGUAACGCUUGGGAAUCUGCCUGUUAGUGGGGGACAACCCGGGGAAACUCGGGCUAAUACCGCAUACGCACUACGGUGGAAAGCCGGGGACCGCAAGGCCUGGCGCUAACAGAUGAGCCCAAGUCGGAUUAGCUAGUUGGUAGGGUAACGGCCUACCAAGGCGACGAUCCGUAACUGGUCUGAGAGGACGACCAGUCACACCGGAACUGAGACACGGUCCGGACUCCUACGGGAGGCGGCAGUGGGGAAUAUUGGACAAUGGGCGAAAGCCUGAUCCAGCGACGCCGCGUGGGUGAAGAAGGCCUGCGGGUUGUAAAGCCCUUUCAGUGGGGAAGAAAAGCCUCGACCUAACACGUCGGGGUCUUGACGUAACCCAUAGAAGAAGCACCGGCUAACUCUGUGCCAGCAGCCGCGGUAAUACAGAGGGUGCGAGCGUUAAUCGGAAUUACUGGGCGUAAAGCGCGCGUAGGCGGCAUUGCAAGUCGGGUGUGAAAUCCCCGGGCUCAACCUGGGAACUGCAUCCGAGACUGCAUAGCUGAGUAUGGGAGAGGGAAGUGGAAUUUCCGGUGUAGCGGUGAAAUGCGUAGAUAUCGGAAGGAACAUCAGUGGCGAAAGCGACUUCCUGGACCAAUACUGACGCUCAUGUGCGAAAGCGUGGGGAGCAAACAGGAUUAGAUACCCUGGUAGUCCACGCCAUAAACGAUGAGAACUAGAUGUCGGGAGGGUCUGCCUCUCGGUGUCGUAGCUAACGCGUUAA
rnacentral:rRNA from 1 species